rnacentral:rRNA from 1 species
AUUGAACGCUGGCGGCAUGCCUUACACAUGCAAGUCGAACGGUAACAGGUCUUCGGAUGCUGACGAGUGGCGAACGGGUGAGUAAUACAUCGGAACGUGCCCGAUCGUGGGGGAUAACGAAGCGAAAGCUUUGCUAAUACCGCAUAAGAUCUACGGAUGAAAGCAGGGGACCGCAAGGCCUUGCGCGAACGGAGCGGCCGAUGGCAGAUUAGGUAGUUGGUGGGAUAAAAGCUUACCAAGCCGACGAUCUGUAGCUGGUCUGAGUGGACGACCAGCCACACUGGGACUGAGACACGGCCCAGACUCCUACGGGAGGCAGCAGUGGGGAAUUUUGGACAAUGGACGAAAGCCUGAUCCAGCCAUGCCGCGUGCAGGAUGAAGGCCUUCGGGUUGUAAACUGCUUUUGUACGGAACGAAAAGACUCUUUCUAAUAAAGAGGGUCCAUGACGGUACCGUAAGAAUAAGCACCGGCUAACUACGUGCCAGCCGCCGCCGUAAUAC